rnacentral:lncRNA from 1 species
AUGAAGCUGAGUAUCUCCUUCCCUGCCACCGGCUGUCAGAAACUCACUGAAGUAGAUGAUUGCAAGCUUUGCACGGUCUAUGAGAAGUGCAUGGCCGAAGAAGUAGCUGCUGAUGCUCUUGGUGAAGAGUGGAAGGGUUGUGUGGUCCGGAUCAGUGGUGGGAUGAUAAACAAGGUUUUCCCAUGAAGCAAGGCAUUUUGACCCAUGGCAGAGUGCACCUGCUGUUGAGUAAGGGGCAUCCCUGUUACAGACCAAGGAGAACUGGAGAGAGGAAGCACAAGUCUGCUUGCAGAUGCAUUGUGGAUGCUAAUCUAAGUGUUCCGACUUGGUUAUUGUAAAGAAAGGAGAAAAGGAUACUCCUAGACUGACAGAUACUACUGUGCCUCCUCGGUUGGGACCUAAAAGAGCUAGUAGAAUCCAAAAGCUUUUUAAUCUCUUCAAAGAAGACGAUCUCUGCCAAUAUGUUGUCAGAAAGCCCUUAAACAAAGAAGGGAAGAAGCCCAGGACCAAAGCACCCAAGAUUCAGCAUCUUCUUACUCCACGUGUCCUAUAACACAAAUGCCGAUGUAUUGCUCUGAAGAAACAAUGCACUAAGAAAAACAAGGAGGAGGCUGCAGAAUAUGCUAAACUUUUGGCCAAGAGAAAGAGGGAAGCCAAAGAAAAGCGCCAGGAACAGAUUGCCAAGAGAUGUAGGCUCUCCUUGCUGAGAGCUUCUACUUCCAAGUCUGAGUCCAGUCAAAAGUAA